GAGUUUGAUCCUGGCUCAGGAUGAACGCUGGCGGCGUGCCUAAUACAUGCAAGUCGAGCGAACAGAUAAGGAGCUUGCUCCUUUGAAGUUAGCGGCGGACGGGUGAGUAACACGUGGGUAACCUACCUAUAAGACUGGGAUAACUUCGGGAAACCGGAGCUAAUACCGGAUAAUAUUUAGAACCGCAUGGUUCUAAAGUGAAAGAUGGUUUUGCUAUCACUUAUAGAUGGACCCGCGCCGUAUUAGCUAGUUGGUAAGGUAACGGCUUACCAAGGCGACGAUACGUAGCCGACCUGAGAGGGUGAUCGGCCACACUGGAACUGAGACACGGUCCAGACUCCUACGGGAGGCAGCAGUAGGGAAUCUUCCGCAAUGGGCGAAAGCCUGACGGAGCAACGCCGCGUGAGUGAUGAAGGGUUUCGGCUCGUAAAACUCUGUUAUUAGGGAAGAACAAAUGUGUAAGUAACUGUGCACAUCUUGACGGUACCUAAUCAGAAAGCCACGGCUAACUACGUGCCAGC
rnacentral:rRNA from 1 species